rnacentral:lncRNA from 1 species
AAAAGUCAAUUUAUGCAUUUUAUUUAAAGAACAAACUUCACAACAAAAUGUUUUAUUUAUCUUUGUAUUACAAAUUUGAUUCACAAUCCUACUAUUAAUAUGACACAAACGAUCAAGCCAUACAUCUUUAUUACUUAGUGUACUUAAUGAAGCACUAUAUGCUACUCCAUUUUUCUUCCUUCCAUGUUGUAAGUGAUAAAGUCCUCCGGAGUUAUUGGCAAUUAAAAUAGUCCUCCCUUUCUUCUGGUCCUUAAUAACACAACCAGAUGAAUUUAGAAUUACAUCACAACCCAUAUCCUUACUUAAGCUUUGAAUUGAAAUCAAUUUUUUUUUCAAUUCCGGUACACAUAAAGUAUUUUUUAAAAUCAAUAAACCAUUACCAGUUUUUAAUUUAAUUGUUCCUAUAUGAGAAAUUUUUAAUUGUUUUCCAUUACCAAUAAUUAUAGAAAGCAUACCAUUGUAUUGUUGCGCAUCAUAGAAAUGAUCGAUUGACGGUGUCAUGUGAUGAGACGCUCCAGAAUCCAGGCACCACGUGUCAUCAACAACCUCAUUCAUAUCCAGAUUAGAUGAAAAAUCCACCAACGAUCCCGUAACAUAUGCAAAAUUCCCUCUUUCGCUGCAUAAACGGGCAAAAUGCCCUGAUUUAUUACAAAUUUGACAAACGAGUGAAGAAUUUACCAAUUGGGGUAGAGGUCCCCAAAACUGAGAUGAUGUAUGCUGUCCACGACCACGAUUUACAUAGCUUCCAUGAUUACUAUGGUUUCCUUAGCCUCUUCUAUGAUUUCCACCAAAAUCAACUGUAUGAACAUUGCACGAAAGAAGAAAAGGCGUUCAAAAUUUAAAAGUGCGCAAGUACCCAAACAUAAUUUUAAGUGAUGAGAUUCAUUACAAGCCCAGAUCGAGGCGCUACAAAAUUACAGCAGAAGCCACAAGUAUAUGCCAUAAGUUACAAACUAGUGUCAAAAGCUAAACGUGCAUUAAAGAAAAAAGAGCAGCGGGAGCAAAUCGGGGGAACCAUAUGGCCUCCCUUCAGGUAAUCUCAUACCAAAGGAAGAAGAGGAGGAAGUUAUCUCCAGACGACUCACCUGCAGGGGCCUAGGAACAGGCGAGACGCUGCUCGAGGGAGGGUGUCCGAUAGCAUUCGAACAAAAGCGGCCCCUACAUCUGGCAUAAACACGGGCCUAGUGGCCCAAUUUAGGUGGCCUCGACAAAAGGUGCCGCAAAUCGGUAGCUAGAAGGGACGGGGACUCACGUGAACCGCGACGACCGCGAGAUAACCGUCGCCAGCCACCACCCACAGUCGGAGCAGCGGCAGUGGUGUCGUGUAGAGAGAAGCAGAAGCUCGAGGUCACAGCGCCAGCAGCAACAUCAGAAGCGACCGGCGCGCCAGAGGAUGAGGGCGCGUCGGUUUGGCGAAGCUGGGCGAGGCGGCGGUGGAUAUCGAUCAAGACGGAGUUGAGCCGCUGACUCUCCAACACAGCAACGGAGUGAAAGGCACCGGCAGCAGACACUCAGUCCAAGCAGAGUGCUGGAGUUUCACAUCGUGGCCGAACUCCUCCAAAAGAUCUGGGGUGCUC